ensembl:snRNA U6 U6 spliceosomal RNA
AUAUACUUAUGUACACACAUACAUAAAAUUGGAAUGACACAGAAAAUUAGCCUGUUCCCUGCAGAAAGAUGACCUACAAAUUAGUGAACCACUUCUAUCUUUU